rnacentral:rRNA from 1 species
GAUGAACGCUGACAGAAUGCUUAACACAUGCAAGUCUUUGGCGAAGCUGUGCUUGCACAGCCUAGCCAAGGCGGACGGGUGAGUAACGCGUAAGGAACUUGCCCUGCAGUCAGGGAUAACAGACGGAAACGACUGAUAAGACCUGGUAAAGUCAGGCGGACUCAUGUCCAGCCUGAUGAAAAGAGAUGCUGCAGGAGAGCCUUGCGUCCUAUUAGCUUGUUGGUGGGGUAACAGCCCACCAAGGCGAUGAUAGGUAGCCGGCCUGAGAGGGUGGACGGCCACAAGGGGACUGAGAUACGGCCCUUACUCCUACGGGAGGCAGCAGUGGGGAAUAUUGGACAAUGGGGGCAACCCUGAUCCAGCAAUUCUGUGUGCACGAUGAAGGUUUUCGGAUUGUAAAGUGCUUUCAGCAGGGAAGAAAAAAUGACGGUACCUGCAGAAGAAGCGACGGCUAAAUACGUG